UAAAGACAUUACCUUUUCCUCAAGCUGGUUAAAUAUGAACUCUAUGACGACGUCAUCCUCAAAUCCCAGAAUCUCUGUCACUCGCUGUGUAAUCCAAGGUUUGAUGACUUCUAGGUUCACUUUGGUCAUGUCCACCUAAUGAAGAAGCAGACACAGUCAGAAAAGGACACAAAGGCAGACCUCUGUCUUUACAGGAAGCUAGAGGAAUACAAUGUCUUCAUACAGCUUUUCAUUUGGAAGAGAAGAAGGUGCCAUAGUCAGACACGUAGGCCUCCGUUGCCAGCCUCAGAAGCAGAGCCUCAGAGAAACCCAGUGCCAGGGGGAACUGAUGCAACAGCUGCCACACACAAUCCAGCAGCAGCAGGAAGACAGGGGACUCUUGCUGGAUACGGGCAUGGGACAAGGCAGAGUGGGCACAUCGCUGCAUGAAUGGAUGUCCAGCCUGAAGAAAAGAAUGAGCCAGGAAACCCUCCAGUGAGCGACAGCAUGGGUCCAUGAUAAUCUGAGCCAGAGUGCUGAUGAGCAGAGUGGAGUCUGUCCCUUCAGAGCCGUGAACCAGAACAGAAUGUCCGUCCCUGGACAACAUAGAUAGAUUUAUUACAAUCCUGGUCCUCUACAUGUGAAAGAUGCAUGUGCGUUCAUUCAUCAGAGAUACAGACAAGUUUUAAAAUCUACCUACCUCUCCACACACUCUGCAAGCAGGCCGGCAGUCGACA